rnacentral:rRNA from 1 species
UGACGUCAAGUCAUCAUGGCCCUUACUGUCCAGGGCGACACACGUGCUACAAUGGCCGGCACAACGGGAAGCGAGUUCGCGAGGACAAGCGGAUCCCUUAAAGCCGGUCGCAGUUCGGAUUGAAGUCUGCAACUCGACUUCAUGAAGCUGGAAUCGCUAGUAAUCGUGGAUCAGCCAAGCCGCGGUGAAUACGUUCCCGGGCCUU